CUACGGAGGCUGCAAGCGUUAAUCGGAAUUACUGGGCGUAAAGCGCGCGUAGGCGGAUAUUUAAGUCUCAUGUGAAAGCCCUGGGCUCAACCUGGGAACUGCAUGGGAUACUGGGUAUCUAGAAUACAGUAGAGGGUAGUGGAAUUUCAGGUGUAGCGGUGAAAUGCGUAGAGAUCUGAAGGAACAUCAGUGGCGAAGGCGACUACCUGGACUGAUAUUGACGCUGAGGUGUGAAAGCGUGGGGAGCAAACGGGAUUAGAUACCCCUGUAGUCC
rnacentral:rRNA from 1 species